UAGGGAAUAUUGCUCAAUGGGGGAAACCCUGAAGCAGCAACGCCGCGUGAGUGAUGAAGGCCUUCGGGUCGUAAAGCUCUGUUGUACGGGACGAAUGCGCGUAUGGCUAACAUCCAUGCGCAGUGACAGUACUGUAUAAGAAAGGACCGGCUAACUUCGUGCCAGCAGCCGCGGUAAGACGGGGGGUCCUAGCGUUGUUCGGAAUCAUUGGGCGUAAAGCGUGUGCAGGUGGUUUUGUAAGUUAGAUGUGAAAGCCUUGGGCUUAACCCAAGAAGUGCAUUUAAAACUACAAAACUUGAGUAUGGAAGAGGGUCGUGGAAUUCCAGGUGUAGUGGUGAAAUACGUAGAUAUCUGGAGGAACACCGGUGGCGAAGGCGGCGACCUGGUCCUAUACUGACACUCAUACACGAAAGCGUGGGGAUCAAACAGGAUUAGAUACCCGCGUAGUCC
rnacentral:rRNA from 1 species